rnacentral:rRNA from 1 species
UACGGAGGGUGCAAGCGUUAAUCGGAAUUACUGGGCGUAAAGCGCACGCAGGUGGCUGAGUCAGUCGAUUGUGAAAGCCCUGGGCUUAACCUGGGAAUUGCAGUCGAUACUACUCAGCUAGAGUAUGGGAGAGGGUAGUGGAAUUCCCGGUGUAGCGGUGAAAUGCGUAGAUAUCGGGAGGAACAUCAGUGGCGAAGGCGGCUACCUGGCCCGUAACUGACGCUGAGGCACGAAAGCGUGGGGAGCAAACAGG